rnacentral:rRNA from 1 species
UACGUAGGGCGCAAGCGUUGUCCGGAAUUAUUGGGCGUAAAGAGCUCGUAGGCGGCCUGUUGCGUCCGCUGUGAAAUCCCGGGGCUCAACCCCGGGCCUGCAGUGGAUACGGGCUGGCUAGAGGCAGGCAGGGGAGAACGGAAUUCCUGGUGUAGCGGUGAAAUGCGUAGAUAUCAGGAGGAACACCGGUGGUGUAGACGGCUCACUGGACCAUAACUGACGCUGAGACACGAAAGCGUGGGUAGCAAACAGG